UACAGAGGGUGCAAGCGUUAAUCGGAAUUACUGGGCGUAAAGCGUGCGUAGUCGGUUAUCUAAGUCGGGUGUGAAAUCCCCGGGCUCAACCUGGGAAUUGCAUUCGAUACUGGAUAGCUAGAGUUCGGCAGAGGGAAGCGGAAUUUCCGGUGUAGCGGUGAAAUGCGUAGAUAUCGGAAGGAACAUCAGUGGCGAAAGCGGCUUCCUGGACCAGAACUGACGAUCAGGCACGAAAGCGUGGGGGAGCAAACAGG
rnacentral:rRNA from 1 species